AGCCGGAAUUGCUAGUAAUGGCAGGUCAGCAUACUGCCGUGAAUACGUUCCCGGGCCUUGUACACACCGCCCGUCACACCAUGAGAGUUGGAAAUACCCGAAGCCUGUGAGCUGACGAGUUACGGGGCAGCAGUCGAAGGUAGAGCCAAUGAUUGGGGUGAAGUCGUAACAAGGUAGC
rnacentral:rRNA from 1 species